UGCCAAAUUCUAGCCCAACAUACAUUGACCUGGAAUAACAAAGCUACUACCUAAACACAACUAAAGCAUUUACCAGUCUUAGUAUAGGCGAUAGAAAAGACACCAUUGGAGCGAUAGAGACCACGUACCGUAAGGGAAAGAUGAAAUAACAAUGAACAAGCCAAGCUAAAAACAGCAAAGAUCAACCCUUGUACCUCUUGCAUCAUGGUCUAGCAAGAAAAACCAAGCAAAAUGAAUUUAAGUUUGCCACCCCGAAACCCAAGCGAGCUACCUACGAGCAGCUAUCAUUGAGCGAACCCGUCUCUGUGGCAAAAGAGUGGGACGACUUGUUGGUAGAGGUGAAAAGCCAACCGAGCUGGGUGAUAGCUGGUUGCCUGUGAAACGAAUCUAAGUUCACUCUUAAUUCUUCUCCAAGGAAGACUAAACCCUAAUGAAGCGAAUUAAGGGCUAUUUAAAGGGGGUACAGCUCCUUUAAAAAAGAAUACAAUCUCUACGAGCGGAUAAAUAACCUUCACAGAAACCUAUUGUGGGCCCUCAAGCAGCCAUCAACAAAGAGUGCGUUAAAGCUCCGUACCUUAAAAAUAUAAGAACAAUAUGAAUCCCUCCUCACUAACAGGCCAACCUAUACCCAAAUAGGAGAAUUAAUGCUAGAAUGAGUAACCAGGGUCCUCCCUCUACGACGCAAGCUUACAUCAAUACAUUAUUAACAAAUACCCAAUAUACGACCAAUACAACAAGCAGAGUAUUAAGCACAUUGUUAACCCAACAGAGGAGCGUCCAUUAAGAAAGAUUAAAACCUGCAAAAGGAACUAGGCAAACCCGUCAAGGCCCGACUGUUUACCAAAAACAUAGCCUUCAGCAAACCAAAGCAAGUAUUGAAGGUGAUGCCUGCCCGGUGACCUGAGGUUCAACGGCCGCGGUAUCCUAACCGUGCAAAGGUAGCGCAAUCAAUUGUCCCAUAAAUCGAGACUAGUAUGAAUGGCUAAACGAGGUCUUAACUGUCUCUUGCAGGCAAUCGGUGAAAUUGAUCUCCCUGUACAAAAGCAGGGAUAACCCCAUAAGACGAGAAGACCCUGUGGAACUUCAAAAUCAGCUGCCACCCCAAAAUACAUACACACCCACCGGGUUCACUUACACGUAAGCCACUGGCAUGCAUUUUUUCGGUUGGGGCGACCUUGGAGAAAAACAAAUCCUCCAAAAAUUGGACCAUCACUCCAGACUAAGAGCAACCCCUCGAAGUGCGAACAGCAACCAGACCCAAUACAAUUGAUCAAUGGACCAAGCUACCCCAGGGAUAACAGCGCAAUCUCCCCCAAGAGUCCAUAUCGACGGGGAGGUUUACGACCUCGAUGUUGGAUCAGGACAUCCUAGUGGUGCAGCCGCUACUAAGGGCUCGUUUGUUCAACGAUUAACAGUCCUACGUGAUCUGAGUUCAGACCGGAGCAAUCCAGGUCGGUUUCUAUCUAUGACAAACUCUUCCCAGUACGAAAGGAGAGGAAAAGUGAGGCCAAUACCACCAGCAAGCCUUCGCCUUAAGUAAUGAAGCCAACUUAAUUACAAAAGGCUAUCACACUCCACCACACCCUAGAAAAGGGCCAGCU
rnacentral:rRNA from 1 species